rnacentral:rRNA from 1 species
UUGAAGAAAACUGAAUUAAAUUAAAGGACCAGAAGACCCUAUAGAGCUCUGUAAAAAUUUUAUAUACUAUAAAUUUACUUACUUAGUUGGGGCGACAAUAGAGUUUCUCCCUCUCUAAACCAGCCCACUAUUUACAAAUUUUUAACUUUCAAUAAAAACUAGAAAAAGCUACCUUAGGGAUAACAGUCUAAUUUUUCUCAAUAGUCCACAUUAACAGAAAAGAUUUGCACCUCGAUGUUGGCUUAGGGAUCCUAUUAACGCAAAAGUUAAUAAAGGUAGGUUUGUUCAACCUAUAUAACCCUACGUGAUC